rnacentral:rRNA from 1 species
UUGCGGUUAAAAAGCUCGUAGUUGGAUUUCUGUCGGUGAGUGUCAGUCCGCCCACAGCGGUAGGUACGUGAUGCGCCACCGGCAUCUUCCUGGGGAAUGUGUCUGCUCUUUAUUGAGUGGUACAUAAGCCAGGACUUUUACUUUGAAGAAGUGAGAGUGUUUCAAGCAGGCAUGCGCCGUGAAUACGUUAGCAUGGGAUAAUAGCAUCGGACCUCGUUCCAAAGCUGUUGGUUUCUUGGACCGAGGUAAAGGUGAAUAGGGAUUGUUGGGGGCAUUCGUAUUUGACUGUCAGAGGUGAAAUUCUUGGAUUUGUGGAAGACGGACUACUGCGAAAGCAUCUGCCAAAGAUGUUCUCAUUGAUCAAGAACGAAAGUUAGGUGAUCGAAGACGAUCAGAUACCGUCCUAGUCUUAACCAUAAACUAUGCCGACUGGAGAUCGGGGGUCGUUAAUUAUGUGACGCCCUCUGCAUCUUGAGAGAAAUCAAAGUCUUUGGGUUCCGGGGGGAGUAUGGUC